rnacentral:rRNA from 1 species
AUUGAACGCUGGCGGCAGGCCUAACACAUGCAAGUCGAGCGAGCGGCGGACGGGUGAGCAAUGUAUGGGGAUCUGCCCGAGAGAGGGGGAUAACUACUGGAAACGGUGGCUAAUACCGCAUACUAUCGGAUGAACCCAUAUGGGAUUAGCUAGUAGGGGGGGUAAAGGCUGACCUAGGCGACGAUCUCUACCUGGUCUGAGAGGAUGAUCAGCCACACUGGAACUGAGACAGGGCCCAGACUCCGACGGGAGGCAGCAGUGGGGAAUAUUGCACAAUGGGCGAAAGCCUGAUGCAGCCAUGCCGCGUGUAUGAAGAAGGCCUUAGGGUUGUAAAGCACUUUCAGCGGUGAGGCGUUACCCGCAGAAGAAGCACCGGCUAACUCCGUGCCAGCAGCCGCGGUAAUAC